rnacentral:rRNA from 1 species
GAUGAACGCUGGCGGCGUGCUUAACACAUGCAAGUCGAACGGAAAGGCCCAAGCUUGCUUGGGUACUCGAGUGGCGAACGGGUGAGUAACACGUGGGUGAUCUGCCCUGCACUUCGGGAUAAGCCUGGGAAACUGGGUCUAAUACCGGAUAGGACGAUGGUUUGGAUGCCAUUGUGGAAAGUUUUUUCGGUGUGGGAUGAGCUCGCGGCCUAUCAGCUUGUUGGUGGGGUAAUGGCCUACCAAGGCGUCGACGGGUAGCCGGCCUGAGAGGGUGUACGGCCACAUUGGGACUGAGAUGCGGCCCAGACUCCUACGGGAGGCAGGAGUGGGGAAUAUUGCACAAUGGGCGCAAGCCUGAUGCAGCGACGCCGCGUGGGGGAUGACGGCCUUCGGGUUGUAAACUCCUUUCGCUAGGGACGAAGCGUUUUUGUGACGGUACCUGGAGAAGAAGCACCGGCUAACUACGUG